UACGUAGGGUGCGAGCGUUAAUCGGAAUUACUGGGCGUAAAGCGUGCGCAGGCGGUUCGACAAGUCCGAUGUGAAAGCCCCGGGCUCAACCUGGGAAUGGCAUUGGAAACUGGCGAGCUUGAGUGUGGCAGAGGGGGGUGGAAUUCCGCGUGUAGCAGUGAAAUGCGUAGAGAUGCGGAGGAACACCGAUGGCGAAGGCAGCCCCCUGGGCUGACACUGACGCUCAGGCACGAAAGCGUGGGGAGCAAACAGG
rnacentral:rRNA from 1 species